GCCAGCAUUGUGUAGUGGUUUGAGUGCUGGAUUAUGACUCUGGAGACCAGGGUUCAAUUCCCUGCUCAGACA
rnacentral:tRNA from 1 species